rnacentral:rRNA from 1 species
AGUGAACGCUGGCGGUAGGCCUAACACAUGCAAGUCGAACGGCAGCACAGUAAGAGCUUGCUCUUACGGGUGGCGAGUGGCGGACGGGUGAGGAAUACAUCGGAAUCUACUUUUUCGUGGGGGAUAACGUAGGGAAACUUACGCUAAUACCGCAUACGACCUACGGGUGAAAGCAGGGGAUCUUCGGACCUUGCGCGAUUGAAUGAGCCGAUGUCGGAUUAGCUAGUCGGCGGGGUAAAGGCCCACCAAGGCGACGAUCCGUAGCUGGUCUGAGAGGAUGAACAGCCACACUGGAACUGAGACACGGUCCAGACUCCUACGGGAGGCAGCAGUGGGGAAUAUUGGACAAUGGGCGCAAGCCUGAUCCAGCCAUACCGCGUGGGUGAAGAAGGCCUUCGGGUUGUAAAGCCCUUUUGUUGGGAAAGAAAAGCAGCAGGUUAAUACCCCGCUGUUCUGACGGUACCCAAAGAAUAAGCACCGGCUAACUUCGUG